rnacentral:rRNA from 1 species
GUAGGAUCCGAGCGUUGUCCGGAUUUACUGGGUGUAAAGGGUGCGCAGGCGGACUGGUAAGUCAGAGGUGAAAUCUCGCCGCUCAACGGCGAAACUGCCUUUGAUACUAUCAGUCUUGAGUCCGGUAGAGAUCUGUGGAAUUCCGAGUGUAGCAGUGAAAUGUGUAGAUAUUCGGAAGAACACCAGUGGCGAAGGCAGCAGAUUGGGCCGGUACUGACGCUCAGGCACGAAAGCAUGGGGAUCAAACAGGAUUAGAUACCCUGGUAGUCCAUGCCCUAAACGAUGUACACUUGAUGUCGGUCUGUAAGGAUCGGUGUCGGAGCUAACGUGUUAAGUGUACCACCUGGGGAGUACGCUCGCAAGGGUGAA